rnacentral:rRNA from 1 species
GGUUAAGCGACUAAGCGUACACGGUGGAUGCCCUGGCAGUCAGAGGCGAUGAAGGACGUGCUAAUCUGCGAAAAGCGUCGGUAAGGUGAUAUGAACCGUUAUAGCCGGCGAUGUCCGAAUGGGGAAACCCAGUGCAAUUCGUUGCACUAUCGUUUGAUGAAUACAUAGUCAAACGAGGCGAACCGGGGGAACUGAAACAUCUAAGUACCCCGAGGAAAAGAAAUCAACCGAGAUUCCCCCAGUAGCGGCGAGCGAACGGGGAGCAGCCCGGAGUCUGAAUCAGCUUGUGUGUUAGUGGAAGCGUCUGGAAAGUCGCAGGGUACAGGGUGAUACUCCCGUACACUAAAGCACACAGGCUGUGAACUCGAAGAGUAGGGCGGGACACGUGGUAUCCUGUCUGAAUAUGGGGGGACCAUCCUCCAAGGCUAAAUACUCCUGACUGACCGAUAGUGAACCAGUACCGUGAGGGAAAGGCGAAAAGAACCCCGGCGAGGGGAGUGAAAAAGAACCUGAAACCGUGUACGUACAAGCAGUAGGAGCCUCUUUAUGGGGUGACUGCGUACCUUUUGUAUAAUGGGUCAGCGACUUAUAUUCUGUAGCAAGGUUAACCGUAUAGGGGAGCCGCAGGGAAACCGAGUCUUAACUGGGCGUUAAGUUGCAGGGUAUAGACCCGAAACCCGGUGAUCUAGCCAUGGGCAGGUUGAAGGUUGGGUAACACUAACUGGAGGACCGAACCGACUAAUGUUGAAAAAUUAGCGGAUGACUUGUGGCUGGGGGUGAAAGGCCAAUCAAACCGGGAGAUAGCUGGUUCUCCCCGAAAGCUAUUUAGGUAGCGCCUCGUGAACUCAUCUUCGGGGGUAGAGCACUGUUUCGGCUAGGGGGUCAUCCCGACUUACCAACCCGAUGCAAACUACGAAUACCGAAGAAUGUUAUCACGGGAGACACACGGCGGGUGCUAACGUCCGUCGUGAAGAGGGAAACAACCCAGACCGCCAGCUAAGGUCCCAAAGUCAUGGUUAAGUGGGAAACGAUGUGGGAAGGCCCAGACAGCCAGGAUGUUGGCUUAGAAGCAGCCAUCAUUUAAAGAAAGCGUAAUAGCUCACUGGUCGAGUCGGCCUGCGCGGAAGAUGUAACGGGGCUAAACCAUGCACCGAAGCUGCGGCAGCGACACUAUGUGUUGUUGGGUAGGGGAGCGUUCUGUAAGCCGUUGAAGGUGGCCUGUGAGGGUUGCUGGAGGUAUCAGAAGUGCGAAUGCUGACAUAAGUAACGAUAAUGCGGGUGAAAAACCCGCACGCCGGAAGACCAAGGGUUCCUGUCCAACGUUAAUCGGGGCAGGGUGAGUCGACCCCUAAGGCGAGGCCGAAAGGCGUAGUCGAUGGGAAACAGGUUAAUAUUCCUGUACUCGGUGUUACUGCGAAGGGGGGACGGAGAAGGCUAUGUUGGCCGGGCGACGGUUGUCCCGGUUUAAGCAUGUAGGCGGAUGUUCCAGGUAAAUCCGGAACGUUACUAACGCUGAGGUGUGAUGACGAGGCACUACGGUGCUGAAGUGACAAAUGCCCUGCUUCCAGGAAAAGCCUCUAAGCAUCAGGUAACAUCAAAUCGUACCCCAAACCGACACAGGUGGUCAGGUAGAGAAUACCAAGGCGCUUGAGAGAACUCGGGUGAAGGAACUAGGCAAAAUGGUGCCGUAACUUCGGGAGAAGGCACGCUGAUAUGUAGGUGAAGUGGUUUACCCAUGGAGCUGAAAUCAGUCGAAGAUACCAGCUGGCUGCAACUGUUUAUUAAAAACACAGCACUGUGCAAACACGAAAGUGGACGUAUACGGUGUGACGCCUGCCCGGUGCCGGAAGGUUAAUUGAUGGGGUUAUCCGUAAGGAGAAGCUCUUGAUCGAAGCCCCGGUAAACGGCGGCCGUAACUAUAACGGUCCUAAGGUAGCGAAAUUCCUUGUCGGGUAAGUUCCGACCUGCACGAAUGGCGUAAUGAUGGCCAGGCUGUCUCCACCCGAGACUCAGUGAAAUUGAACUCGCUGUGAAGAUGCAGUGUACCCGCGGCAAGACGGAAAGACCCCGUGAACCUUUACUAUAGCUUGACACUGAACACUGGUCCUUGAUGUGUAGGAUAGGUGGGAGGCUUUGAAGUGUGGACGCCAGUCUGCAUGGAGCCAUCCUUGAAAUACCACCCUUUAAUGGCUGGUGUUCUAACGUGGGCCCGUUAUCCGGGUUGCGGACAGUGUCUGGUGGGUAGUUUGACUGGGGCGGUCUCCUCCUAAAGAGUAACGGAGGAGCACGAAGGUCAGCUAAUCCUGGUCGGACAUCAGGAGGUUAGUGCAAUGGCAUAAGCUGGCUUGACUGCGAGCGUGACGGCGCGAGCAGGUGCGAAAGCAGGUCAUAGUGAUCCGGUGGUUCUGAAUGGAAGGGCCAUCGCUCAACGGAUAAAAGGUACUCCGGGGAUAACAGGCUGAUACCGCCCAAGAGUUCAUAUCGACGGCGGUGUUUGGCACCUCGAUGUCGGCUCAUCACAUCCUGGGGCUGAAGUAGGUCCCAAGGGUAUGGCUGUUCGCCAUUUAAAGUGGUACGCGAGCUGGGUUUAGAACGUCGUGAGACAGUUCGGUCCCUAUCUGCCGUGGGCGCUGGAGAAUUGAGGGGGGCUGCUCCUAGUACGAGAGGACCGGAGUGGACGCAUCACUGGUGUUCGGGUUGUCAUGCCAAUGGCAUUGCCCGGUAGCUAAAUGCGGAAGAGAUAAGUGCUGAAAGCAUCUAAGCACGAAACUUGCCCCGAGAUGAGUUCUCCCUGACUCCUUGAGAGUCCUGAAGGAACGUUGAAGACGACGACGUUGAUAGGCCGGGUGUGUAAGCGCAGCGAUGCGUUGAGCUAACCGGUACUAAUGAACCGUGAGGCUUAACCUU